GAUGAAGAACGCAGCGAAAUGCGAUAAGUAGUGUGAAUUGCAGAAUUCAGUGAAUCAUCGAAUCUUUGAACGCACAUUGCGCCCCUUGGUAUUCCAUGGGGCAUGCCUGUUCGAGCGUCAUUUGUACCUUCAAGCUUUGCUUGGUGUUGGGUGUUUGUCUCGCCUUUGCGUGUAGACUCGCCUUAAAAUAAUUGGCAGCCGGCGUAUUGAUUUCGGAGCGCAGUACAUCUCGCGCUUUGCACUCAUAACGACAGCGUCCAAAAGUACAUUUUACACUCCUGACCUCGGAUCAGGUAGGGAUACCCGCUGAACUUAAGCAUAUCAAUAAGCGGAGGA
rnacentral:misc_RNA from 1 species